AGGUUACCCGCGACAAGACGGAAAGACCCCAUGGAGCUUUACUGCAGCUUGAUAUUGAAUUUGGGUACGAUCUGUACAGGAUAGGUGGGAGCCGUUGAACCUUGAGCGCCAGCUUGAGGGGAGGCAUCCUUGGGAUACCACCCUGAUCGUAUCUAGGUUCUAACUUGGUACCGUGAUCCGGUACGAGGACAGUGUCAGGUGGGCAGUUUGACUGGGG
rnacentral:rRNA from 1 species